rnacentral:rRNA from 1 species
UACGUAGGGUGCAAGCGUUAAUCGGAAUUACUGGGCGUAAAGCGUGCGCAGGCGGUUUUUUUAAGACAGGCGUGAAAUCCCCGGGCUUAACCUGGGAACUGCGCUUGUGACUGGCGUGCUGGAGUGUGGCAGAGGGAGGUGGAAUUCCACGUGUAGCAGUGAAAUGCGUAGAGAUGUGGAGGAACACCGAUGGCGAAGGCAGCCUCCUGGGCCAGCACUGACGCUCAUGCACGAAAGCGUGGGGAGCAAACGGG